rnacentral:rRNA from 1 species
GACGAACGCUGGCGGCGUGCUUAACACAUGCAAGUCGAACGGAAAGGCCCUGCUUUUGUGGGGUGCUCGAGUGGCGAACGGGUGAGUAACACGUGAGUAACCUGCCCUUGACUUUGGGAUAACUUCAGGAAACUGGGGCUAAUACCGGAUAGGAGCUCCUGCUGCAUGGUGGGGGUUGGAAAGUUUCGGCGGUUGGGGAUGGACUCGCGGCUUAUCAGCUUGUUGGUGGGGUAGUGGCUUACCAAGGGUUUGACGGGUAGCCGGCCUGAGAGGGUGACCGGCCACAUUGGGACUGAGAUACGGACCAGACGCCUACGGGAGGCAGCAGUGGGGAAUAUUGCACAGUGGGCGGAAGCCUGAUGCAGCAACGCCGCGUGCGGGAUGACGGCCUUCGGGUUGUAAACCGCUUUCGCCUGUGACGAAGCGUGAGUGACGGUAAUGGGUAAAGAAGCACCGGCUAACUACGUG